AGUAAGGUAAGCUAAUUUAAGCUAUCGGGCCCAUACCCCGAAAAUGUCGGUUAAUACCCUCCCCUACUA
rnacentral:tRNA from 1 species